GGGGGAUAUUGCACAAUGGGGGAAACCCUGAUGCAGCGACGCCGCGUGGAGGAAGAAGGUUUUCGGAUUGUAAACUCCUGUUGUUGAGGAAGAUAAUGACGGUACUCAACAAGGAAGUGACGGCUAACUACGUGCCAGCAGCCGCGGUAAAACGUAGGUCACAAGCGUUGUCCGGAAUUACUGGGUGUAAAGGGAGCGCAGGCGGGCGAUCAAGUUGGAAGUGAAAUCCAUGGGCUCAACCCAUGAACUGCUUUCAAAACUGGUCGUCUUGAGUAGUGCAGAGGUAGGCGGAAUUCCCGGUGUAGCGGUGGAAUGCGUAGAUAUCGGGAGGAACACCAGUGGCGAAGGCGGCCUACUGGGCACCAACUGACGCUGAGGCUCGAAAGUGUGGGUAGCAAACAGGAUUAGAUACCCUGGUAGUCCACACCGUAAACGAUGAUUACUAGGUGUUGGGAGAUUGACCCUCUCAGUGCCGCAGUUAACACAAUAAGUAAUCCACCUGGGGAGUACGACCGCAAGGUUGAAACUCAAAGGAAUUGACGGGGGCCCGCACAAGCAGUGGAGUAUGUGGUUUAAUUCGACGCAACGCGAAGAACCUUACCAAGUCUUGACAUCCCUUGACGAUGCUGGAAACAGUAUUUCUCUUCGGAGCAAGGAGACAGGUGGUGCAUGGUUGUCGUCAGCUCGUGUCGUGAGAUGUUGGGUUAAGUCCCGCAACGAGCGCAACCCUUAUGGUCAGUUACUACGCAAGAGGACUCUGGCCAGACUGCCGUUGACAAAACGGAGGAAGGUGGGGAUGACGUCAAAUCAUCAUGCCCUUUAUGACUUGGGCUACACACGUACUACAAUGGCGUUAAACAAAGAGAAGCAAGACCGCGAGGUGGAGCAAAACUCAGAAACAACGUCCCAGUUCGGACUGCAGGCUGCAACUCGCCUGCACGAAGUCGGAAUUGCUAGUAAUCGUGGAUCAGCAUGCCACGGUGAAUACGUUCCCG
rnacentral:rRNA from 1 species